rnacentral:lncRNA from 1 species
UAAGUUCCAACUACUCACUAAUUAUUCUCCACAAAAGUUAAAAAGUUUUCUGCGCUCACCAACUUGGUCCUUGUGUAGCAAACUUCCAAAGUAAAAUUAGCCGAAAGAAAGAAUUGUACAAACUAUAUGAAAAAAUAUAGCUCUUCCUCUUCUUAAAGUCAAACUCGAUCUAAUUAAUUAGUGUCCAAUUCUAUUCAAAAACCUCCCCUCACCGUCCUUUCUCAUUAUAAAUACCGCCAGCAGUUACAAUUUCUAACUACUCCAUCUAUCAUCUCACUUCUUACACAAUCAAUUAUACACAAAUUACACUAGAGCUUAUAAAGUUUUUUCAAGAUUCAUAUAUACUAACUAGCUACAUCAUCAUGGAAGGAGCUAGAACAACUUCAUAUUUCACGUUGGCUUUGUUUCUCUUCCUGUUGAUGAUCAAUUCACAACUAAUUAGGGGUGUCAAUUGCCGAACACUUCGUGAUCAGUCACCCAAAAACACCGUUGUCGCCGCGGCUUCUGAAGAUCAAAGAGGAGCAGUAAAUGUGAGGAAAACACCAAGUUCAGUGAAAAAUAUGGCUUUUAUAAUGGUUGCUGGACCAAGCAGGAAAGGUCCUGGUCAUUAGUUAGUUACAUGAAGAUGUUAUGCUCAAUGUCAAAUUUUAGAGAUUUUUCUUCUUCUUCUUUUUUGCUGUUUCUAUUUCACACACAUUAUUUUUGCACGAAGGUGUUUAAGAAUGUCUAUUUAGGGUCCAUUCUUUUGUUCUCUCAGAAAAUUAGCAAGGACGACAUAGCUACUUAUUGUAGAAGCAUUGUUGUAGCUAGAUCCAUACUGUAAUAGUGUAAUUGCAAAAGAUGUAUACGAAAUGAAAAUACUUUAUUUUGUGUUAAAUGCAUUUUUAAGUUAUCCUUCAUCUGUUUUGAUUGAGACUUAUUCCAUUUUUAAUUUAUCCUUCAAAACUGAGAUUAUACAUUGCUUUUUUCUGCAUAAAUCUUAUUCUGCU